ensembl:snRNA U5 U5 spliceosomal RNA
GUUCUCCGGUUUCUCUUCAGAUCAUAUAAAUCUUUCACCUUUUCCUAAACGUUUCCGUGGAGAGAAACGCGUACGAGUCCUACGAAAUUUUUUGUGGCUCCAUUACGGUAGAGCU